AAGUGAAGUCAGUGAGGUACACUCGUGGUAGUUUCAUCUUCCCUGGGGCUCAGCCAUAUCCACAUCGUCACUUCUCUGAAGAAGUAGCCGUGCUUGACAGCUAUUUCGGUAAGCUUGGUGCAGGCAGCAGUGCAUAUGUGAUGGGUAAUGCUGAUAAACAACAGAACUGGCAUGUCUAUUCUGCUUCAGUUGAAUCUGCCAAUGCCAAUAACCCGAAUCCAGUUUAUACACUGGAGAUGUGCAUGACUAAUCUGGACAAGAAGAAGGCAUCCGUAUUUUUCAAGACUCACUCAAGCACUGCUGCUGAGAUGACUGAAGUUUCAGGCAUUCGGAAGAUCCUUCCAGAAUCAAACAUAUGCGACUUUGACUUUGAUCCCUGCGGUUACUCAAUGAAUGCUAUCGAGGGGCCAGCAAUCUCUACAAUUCAUGUCACACCUGAGGAUGGAUUCAGCUAUGCAAGUUUUGAAGCAGUGGGUUAUGAUUUCAAAGACGUAAACUUGACUGCCAUGAUCGAGAGGGUGUUGUCCUGCUUCGGACCUGCUGAGUUUUCUGUAUCACUACACUGUGACACUCCUGGGAAGGAACUUUAUACUGAGUCCG
rnacentral:lncRNA from 1 species